ensembl:lncRNA
UUCCACAGUAGGGCAUUAAACUUAUCUAUCCCCAUGGUGGUGCCAUCAGGUCAAAUCUAAAAGGUUAGAUAGGAGAGGCGACCCUGCUCACAAUAAGAAUCCAUGUUUUUAUGGUAUUUUUGGCCAAUAAAACACCUGCAAUAAAAAAUGCCAUACAGUGGAACAUUCCAGACAAAAGCAAUAACUUCUCUGUAGAGACAAGCAGGUUCUGGACCUUGUGCCAGAAAAGUUACGCAGUGCACUUUCAAACAAUAUAAAUCUUGAGUCAGCCCUAAAUUUGAUGAUAAAGAAAAUAUUAACUCAGAAAUAUGCAGCCCACCUCAUCCAUCCACUGACCUGCCAACUGCCCGUCACUAACCUUUUCUCACCUUUUAUCAACAUUUCCGUGUAUCUAACUCCUGCCUAUAUCAACUCUCCUAUCCGCUCUGCUCACUGUGGGUUUCCUAACAUGAUUUCCUCAGUCUGUCUUUUUCAAAGUGCUUCUCUCUAUCUUCCUGAGCACAGCUUCCCCUCUCUCCAUCAUCUGAAAUGUCACCAUCCUCUGUGUUCUUACUCAUCAGCUCGGGUUCUUCAAGCGAGCCGUCUACUACCGCAUAAUGCCAAAGCACCGAGGGGUGAAAAUACGCCGGGCCGAACGCUAUCAACUCAAUCUGGGAUAUCAGCCGGAAGAGCCGCACAGGAAGUAUUGGAUCACCAGCUGGACGGAGAUGCAGUGACAUUACUACUGAGGCCCGGGCUUAGAGGACACUCGCGCUAAUGCUAAGCUAUGGGUAUAGAAGCCAUCAAAAGACAUUAUAAUGACGAGUGAUCCACAUAGACUGAAAUGGACCAACUUUGACAUUGAAUUUUUCAGUGCAAUAUACUGAAUCUGUUGUAAAAGAGACUGAAAUUUCUAUUUUUUUAACUAAAUGCAGUGUUGUACAUUUGAACCGCAAAUAGUCCAUUUUGUUAUUUUUUGUUGGAGAUUUGAAUGUGUUUCCAGACAUAAUGGCUGCCUUUUCCUAUAAUCGAGUGAAUAAUUGUACACUGAAAGUUCAUCAUUUUGCGGUUAGUGGUUGUUGGCACUGUGGGACUCUUGAACCAACAAAUGCAGUAGGAAUCUGGCACUGAGAUUUGGGUUUUUUUUUGUUGUGCCACCAUCACAUACAGAGCAAACAUACAGGCACAUGUUUUUAUCUCUUUUUGAAUGAACGGGUUGCUUCAUUUGACCCGUAUCUUAAAGUCAAUUUUUUUGUACUAUUUAUUUGUGACUUGUUUCAACAGAGCCUUAUCCUUAUGCUUUCACACACAGGAAGUCGUGACACUGGAUUGAAUAAUAUUGAACUAAGAUUGUGGUACUUCAGACAGUUGUAAAUGUAAAUAACGGUGCUGUUUUCACAAACGCAUGUGUUGUCUUACAUGUUCCGUCUUGUCGCUUUUAGUUUUUUCUAUGGGAAGGAACGGUGACACUUGGACCGUUUCCAAGGUAACGUGGCCCCCUUUGAGGUCAGCCUAUAGCACUGAAAGUCAUUGAAUAUUUCUGUGGAACAAGUGUUGCAUUUCAGAGUUAUUCCGUUAUGGGACUUACUCCAUUGGUGUAAAAAGGGAAUGUGACUGACCAAUGUAAAGAUGGUGUUUUUUACUGUACACACUCAGCGGAAU